CCCUUAGAUGUUCUGGGCUGCACGCGCGCUACACUGAUGCGUUCAACGAGUUUAUGACCUUGCCCGAUAGGGUUGGGUAAUCUUUUUAAAUCGCAUCGUGAUGGGGAUAGAUUAUUGCAAUUAUUAAUCUUCAACGAGGAAUUCCUAGUAAACGCAAGUCAUCAGCUUGCAUUGAUUACGUCCCUGCCCUUUGUACACACCGCCCGUCGCUCCUACCGAUUGAAUGGUCCGGUGAAGCGUUCGGACCGUGGCCUUUGGACGGUUCGCCGUCUGUUGGCUGCGGGAAGUUCGUUAAACCUUAUCAUUUAGAGGAAGGAGAAGUCGUAACA
rnacentral:rRNA from 1 species